GACGAACGCUGGCGGCGUGCUUAACACAUGCAAGUCGAACGGAGAAUUUUACUUCGGUGAAAUUCUUAGUGGCGAACGGGUGAGUAACGCGUAGACAACCUGCCUCUUAGAUGGGGACAACAUCGCGAAAGCGGUGCUAAUACCGAAUGAAGUGGAGCUUCCGCAUGGAAGCAUCACCAAAGGUGGCCUCUAUUUAUAAGCUACCACUGAGAGAUGGGUCUGCGUCUGAUUAGCUAGUUGGCGGGGUAAUGGCCCACCAAGGCGACGAUCAGUAGCCGGUCUGAGAGGAUGAACGGCCACAUUGGGACUGAGACACGGCCCAAACUCCUACGGGAGGCAGCAGUGGGGAAUCUUCCGCAAUGGACGAAAGUCUGACGGAGCAACGCCGCGUGAGUGAAGAAGGUUUUCGGAUCGUAAAGCUCUGUUGUUUGAGACGAAUGUGCAGACUUUGAAUAAGGGUUUGUAAUGACGGUAUUAAACGAGAAAGCCACGGCUAACUACGUGCCAGCCGCCGCCGUAA
rnacentral:rRNA from 1 species